rnacentral:rRNA from 1 species
CCUACGGGUGGCAGCAGUGAGGAAUAUUGGGCAAUGGACGAGAGUCUGAACCAGCCAAGUAGCGUGAAGGAUGACUGCUCUAUGGGGUGUAAACUUCUUUUAGAAAGGAAUAAAACGAGGCACGUGUGCCUUUUUGCAUGUACUUUACGAAAAAGGAUCGGCUAACUCCGUGCCAGCAGCCGCGGUAAUACGGAGGAUCCGAGCGUUAUCCGGAUUUAUUGGGGUUAAAGGGAGCGUAGAUGGGUUGUUAAGUCAGUUGUGAAAGUUUGAGGCUCAACCGUAAAAUUGCAAUUGAUACUGGCAGUCUUGAGUGCAGUUGAGGUAGGGGGAAUUCGUGGUGUAGCGGUGAAAUGCUUAGAGAUCACGAAGAACCCCGAUUGCGGAAGCAGCUUACUAAGCUGUGACUGACAUUGAUGCACGAAAGUGUGGGUAGCAAACAGGAUUAGAUACCCUUGUAGUC